rnacentral:tRNA from 2 species
GCCCCCGUAGCUCAGGGGAGAAGAGCAAGGGAUUCCUAAUCCCUGUGCGUAGGUUCGAAUCCUACCGGGGGCACCA